GGCUUAGAGUUUGAUCCUGGCUCAGAGUGAACGCUGGCGGCGUGGAUUAGGCAUGCAAGUCGAGCGAUCCCGCAAGGGAUAGCGGCAAACGGGUGAGGAACACGUAAGUAAUCUUCCCCUUAUCCGGACAUAGCCCUAUGAAAAUAGGGGUAAUAUCCGAUGACACCAUAGGAUUGCAUAAUCUUAUGUUUAAAGACGGGGACCGCAAGGCCUGUCGAUAAGGGAUGAGCUUGCGUAGCAUCAGCUAGUUGGCAGGGUAACGGCCUACCAAGGCUAUGACGCUUAGCUGGUCUGAGAGGAUGGUCAGCCACACUGGGACUGAGACACUGCCCAGACUCCUACGGGAGGCUGCAGUCGAGAAUCUUUAGCAAUGGGCGAAAGCCUGACUAUGCGACGCCGCGUGAGGGAUGAAGGUUUUCGGAUCGUAAACCUCUUUUGGCAGGGAAGAAAAUAAUCCGUUUAAUAGACG
rnacentral:rRNA from 1 species